GAACCAGGUUUUGUUUCAAAGAUACUGAAAAAAAUGAAAUUGUUACAUAGAGAAAUUGCAAAAUCAUGCAGAUAAGGCCCUAUGACUCAGCUGAUAGGCAUUCAUACAGAAGCAAGUAUGGAGCAGCAAUUAAGAAUACAUAGCUCCAUCCUCCAUUUGCAAAUACACUUAUGCUUUAGCAAUAACAUUGUACAGGAAACACAAGAUCUAUUACUUUGGCUUGAAAAGAGGGUUCAAAGCUUGAAGCUGACCACUGCAAAGGCCACUUGUCACAUUUACUGAAAAUCAACCUAUUGAUAUCACAGCUGAAAAUAUAAACUCGACAACCAAAGCCCAUUGCACAACAUGGACUGCGUAAGAGUUAAAAAUAGAUUUGACGUGCCUCCUACCUGCAUAAUAAAUAUGUAAGUUUCAAGUGCUUUAAUUCGAUAUUCACAUUAAUUAACAAUACAAUAUACAUUAUUUAAACUACAGUAAAUGCAAGAAGAAAAAGGGUGACACCAUCUGGAAGCACAGUUUGCUUUUUU
rnacentral:lncRNA from 12 species